CCUACGGGAGGCAGCAGUCGGGAAUUUUGGGCAAUGGGGGAAACCCUGACCCAGCAACGCCGCGUGAAGGAUGAAGUAUUUCGGUAUGUAAACUUCGAAAGAAUAGGAAGAAUUAAUGACGGUACUAUUUAUAAGGUCCGGCUAACUACGUGCCAGCAGCCGCGGUAA
rnacentral:rRNA from 1 species